AUUGAACGCUGGCGGCAUGCUUUACACAUGCAAGUCGAACGGUAACAGGUUAAGCUGACGAGUGGCGAACGGGUGAGUAAUGCAUCGGAACGUGCCCGGUCGUGGGGGAUAACGCAGCGAAAGCUGCGCUAAUACCGCAUACGAUCUGAGGAUGAAAGCGGGGGACCGUAAGGCCUCGCGCGAUCGGAGCGGCCGAUGUCAGAUUAGGUAGUUGGUGGGGUAAAGGCUCACCAAGCCGACGAUCUGUAGCUGGUCUGAGAGGACGACCAGCCACACUGGGACUGAGACACGGCCCAGACUCCUACGGGAGGCAGCAGUAGGGAAUAUUGGUCAAUGGGUGAGAGCCUGAACCAGCCAUGCCGCGUGCAGGAAGAAGGCCUUCUGGGUUGUAAACUGCUUUUGCCAGGGGAUAAAAUGGGAGUGCGCUCCUAAUUGAAGGUACCUGGUGAAUAAGCCACGGCUAACUACGUGCCAGCAGCCGCUGUAA
rnacentral:rRNA from 1 species